CUCCACUGGUAUCCAUAACACUCCAUAGCUAUCGAUAACACUCCACUGGUAUCCAUAACACUCCAUAGCUAUAGAUAGCUAUGGAGUGUUAUGGAUACCA